ensembl:miRNA
ACAAACAGCUCCAGGGAGUCAGGGGAGGGCAGAAAUAGAUGGCCUUCCCCUGCUGGGAAGAAAGUGGGUC